GAUGAACGCUGGCGGCGUGCUUAACACAUGCAAGUCGAACGGAAAGGCUCCUGCUUGCAGGGGUACUCGAGUGGCGAACGGGUGAGUAACACGUGGGUGAUCUGCCCUGCACUUCGGAAUAAGCCUGGGAAACUGGGUCUAAUACCGGAUAGGACGAUGGUUUGGAUGCCAUUGUGGAAAGUUUUUCGGUGUGGGAUGAGCUCGCGGCCUAUCAGCUUGUUGGUGGGGUAAUGGCCUACCAAGGCGUCGACGGGUAGCCGGCCUGAGAGGGUGUACGGCCACAUUGGGACUGAGAUACGGCCCAGACUCCUACGGGAGGCAGCAGUGGGGAAUAUUGCACAAUGGGCGCAAGCCUGAUGCAGCGACGCCGCGUGGGGGAUGACGGCCUUCGGGUUGUAAACUCCUUUCGCUAGGGACGAAGCGUUUUGUGACGGUACCUGGAGAAGAAGCACCGGCUAACUACGUG
rnacentral:rRNA from 1 species